GACGAACGCUGGCGGCGUGCCUAAUACAUGCAAGUAGAACGCAGUUGCGAACGGGUGAGUAACGCGUAGGUAACUGCCUCAUAGCGGGGGAUAACUAUUGGAAACGAUAGCUCAUACCUCCUACUGUUCGAUAGACCUGCUUUGUAUUAGCUAGUUGGUGAGGUACAGGCUCACCAAGGCGACGAUACAUAGCCGACCUGAGAGGGGGAUCGGCCACACUGGGAAUGAGAACACGCUCCGAGUUCCACGGGAGGCAGCAGUAGGGAAUUUUUGGAAAUGGACCGAAGUCUGAACGAGCAACGCCGCGGGAGAGAAGAAGGUGUUUGGAUCGUAAAGCUCUGUUGUUAGAGAAGCGGUACCUAACCAGAAAGGGACGGCUAACUACGUGCCAGCAGCCGCGGUAAUUC
rnacentral:rRNA from 1 species